rnacentral:tRNA from 1 species
GGGCGGAUAGAUCAGACUGGAAGAUCGUCUGAUUUGCAAUCAGAAGGUCUCGGGUUCAAAUCCCGAUCCGUCCACCA